rnacentral:rRNA from 2 species
AGGUGCGAUCAUAUCAGUACUAAUGCACCGAAUCCCAUCGGAAUUCCGCAAUUAAGCGUGCUUGGGCGAGAGUAGUACUAGGAUGGGUGACCUCGUGGGAAGUCCUCAUUUUUCACCUC